rnacentral:rRNA from 1 species
UACGAAGGGGGCAAGCGUUGUUCGGAAUUACUGGGCGUAAAGGGCGCGUAGGCGGCUUACCAAGUCAGGCGUGAAAUUCCCGGGCUCAACCUGGGGGCUGCGCUUGAUACUGGUGAGCUUGAAUGCGGGAGAGGAUAGUGGAAUUCCCAGUGUAGAGGUGAAAUUCGUAGAUAUCUGGAGGAACACCGGUGGCGAAGGCGGCAUCCUGGACCGGCAUUGACGCUGAGGCGCGAAAGCCAGGGGAGCAAACGGG